AACGAACGCUGGCGGCAUGCCUAACACAUGCAAGUCGAACGAGACCUUCGGGUCUAGCGGCGCACGGGUGCGUAACGCGUGGGAAUCUGCCCUUAGCUUCGGAAUAACCCUCCGAAAGGGGUGCUAAUACCGGAUAAUCCCUUCGGAGCAAAGAUUUAUCGCCUAUGGAUCGGCCCGCGUUGGAUUAGCUAGUUGGUAGGGUAAAGGCCUACCAAGGCGACGAUCCAUAGCUGGUCUGAGAGGAUGAUCAGCCACACUGGGACUGAGACACGGCCCAGACUCCUACGGGAGGCAGCAGUGGGGAAUAUUAGACAAUGGGCGAAAGCCUGAUCCAGCAAUGCCGCGUGAGUGAUGAAGGCCUUAGGGUUGUAAAGCUCUUUUAGCCGGGAUGAUAAUGACAGUACCGGGAGAAGAAGCGCCGGCUAACUCCGUG
rnacentral:rRNA from 1 species